UAAGCGGAGGAAAAGAAACCAACAGGGAUUGCCCUAGUAACGGCGAGUGAAGCGGCAACAGCUCAAAUUUGAAAUCUGGCUUCGGCCCGAGUUGUAAUUUGCAGAGGAAGCUUUAGGCGCGGCACCUCCUGAGUCCCCUGGAACGGGGCGCCACAGAGGGUGAGAGCCCCGUAUAGUUGGAUGCCUAGCCUGUGUAAAGCUCCUUCGACGAGUCGAGUAGUUUGGGAAUGCUGCUCAAAAUGGGAGGUAAAUUUCUUCUAAAGCUAAAUACCGGCCAGAGACCGAUAGCGCACAAGUAGAGUGAUCGAAAGAUGAAAAGCACUUUGAAAAGAGGGUUAAAUAGCACGUGAAAUUGUUGAAAGGGAAGCGCUUGUGACCAGACUUGCGCCGGGCUGAUCAUCCGGUGUUCUCACCGGUGCACUCUGCCCGGCUCAGGCCAGCAUCGGUUCUCGCGGGGGGAUAAAGGCCCUGGGAACGUAGCUCCUCCGGGAGUGUUAUAGCCCGGGGCGUAA
rnacentral:rRNA from 1 species